AUUAUAUUGCCAGCUGCCUAGCACAACACCUGGUUAUUAUUAGGUAAAAGAGUCUGCCAGUUGUCCCCUGACUAGGGUAAUGCAUUUUUUUUUUUUUUAAUGUUAUCAUCCUAUAUGAUUUAUUUUCAGGUCACAUCCAUUUAGAGGGCUGGAAGGCAAGUACCAGGACACAACAAAUCCGUUCACAAUUUCUAUCUCUUUGUGAUAUUGUAUUGCACAUCCAAACAUAUGCAAGGGAAAUGUUCGUUAAUAGAUUUUACAGUUUUAUUAUCAUCAUUUGGCAUUGUCCAUAACAAGUUGCAAAAGAUGUGUUAUAACUUUCCCAAUUGUAAGGCGCUUAAUUAUACACACCAUAGGGAUUGUGCUAUGAUCAGAAGUGCAGAAUUUAUUAAAUAACAUAUGAAAGCGUUAACAAAGUACAUAACUUACAGUACAAAACAUGAAAUCUUUCAUCAGCUGACUUUUGAAACAUAUCCCGAGAUUACAAUUAAAUUAUUUAGUUUAAAACAAGCAAAAGUACUGACAAUGCAUGUUUAGGCAAUAUUAAGAUACGCACUGUGCAAGCAAAAAAACAAUUUAAUAAAGGGCUGUUUUUUCAUGCACAGGGCUUCAAUUUCUUUCUUCGUUUGUGACGCACAAACACAGAGAUACUGCCACUUCUGUUAUGCCUGCUCGGUAUACAGUUGUAAAAUACUUGGUUGGCAUUUAACCCUGUCUGUGUCUUCCAUCUAAAGCAAAAAUUCAUAUUGUGCACAGCACAUUAUUCUGUGCACAGGGACACAGAGGAAAUUUGGAAUGUCUGUCUGUUUGGAUCUCUCCAGUGGAAAUGCAGAAUUUCGAAUCCCAGUCAUUAAAUACAUUCCUGCUAAUUUCCUGGUGUCUACAUGAGACAAGUAAAAAGGCUGUUGUCAUUUAUCUGAGAGGAUGUUGCAGUAGCCAGAUAAAAACAUAUUAAAGGUGGGAGAUUACUGGAAACAUUUGUUGUUCCUAUUAAUGUGUUAAAUUACAUAGGAAUAUGCAUGUUUACCAGAGACAAACUGAAUCUCUCAUUUAGGAGAGACUGUGAUUUCAGGACCCAAAUUCCUCUUUCCAAAUUUCCUUUUGCUGUGUCCUGUUUGAUGGGAACUUAGAAUUUGAGAAAGAGAGAGGUUUUUUUGUUUUUUUUGUUUGUUUGUUUAAAAACCAUCUGAAGUCAGUGGAUACAAUACAAAGAUCUGCACACCAGUCAAGCCAGAAUUGCUUUUCCCACAGAAAUCAUAAGUUUGCAGUGACGUUUCUACUGCAAAGGAUUCUGGGUGGACAUAUGCAAAUUAGUUCCUCAAAGAAUCACAUUUAUAUAUAUUUUACACAAUCUACUCUAACAGCCUAAUGCUUGCUCUUAUGAGAUUAAUCCACUUACUUGGGAAAUACUUCCUUACUGGGACUCUGCAAGUCAAGGCUAAAUAUGGUCCUGGAAUGAGGCAGAGAGUCCCAGUAAGAAAGUAUUUCCCAAGUAAGUGAAUUAAUCUCAUAAGAGCAAACAUUAGGCUGUUAGAGUAGGACCUGCCGAGAAUGGGGUACAUUGACGUUGUGGCAGGGUUAUGCAAUGUAUGAUCAUAUAUUGUAACCAAACCCCCAUUAUUUGUUACCUAGGUGAGGUGUUUAAAUAAAACUAUUUAGGAUUUGAUAUCAUUGUUUAGUUAAUAAGCGAGUGCGCUGGGUUGUGUAUUUUGGUCCCAGCAGCACCCUAUAAUGUAUGCAUGUUCAGGUGAGUGCAGC
rnacentral:lncRNA from 1 species